UCCGUAGGUGAACCUGCGGAGGGAUCAUUACAGAGUUCAUGCCCUUACGGGUAAGUCUCCCACCCUAUGUUAUCAGUACCUUUGUUGCUUUGGCGGGCCGCCAGGCCUUGGUCAGGCUACCGGCUCCGGCUAGUAAGCGCCCGCCAGAGGAUCCCAAACUCUGAAUGUUAGUGUCGUCUGAGUACUAUAUAAUAGUUAAAACUUUCAACAACGGAUCUCUUGGUUCUGGCAUCGAUGAAGAACGCAGCGAAAUGCGAUAAGUAAUGUGAAUUGCAGAAUUUAGUGAAUCAUCGAAUCUUUGAACGCACAUUGCGCCCCUUGGUAUUCCGAGGGGCAUGCCUGUUCGAGCGUCAUUACAACCCUCAAGCAAUGCUUGGUAUUGGGCCCCGCUGCUCACCUAGCGGGCCUUAAAAUCAGUGGCGGUGCCGUCGGGCCCUGAGCGCAGUAAAUAUCCUCGCUACAGGGACUCGGUGGACGCUGGCCAUCAACCCAGACUCCUCUAAGUUUGACCUCGGAUCAGGUAGGGAUACCCGCUGAACUUAAGCAUAUCAAUAAGGCGGGAGGGGAAGGUCGGACUGGCCAAGGGCACACAGGGGGGGAUA
rnacentral:rRNA from 1 species